rnacentral:rRNA from 1 species
GAUAAGCUUAUUAAGGGCGUAUGGGGGAUGCCUAGGCUCUCAGAGGCGACGAAGGACGUGACAAGCUGCGAUAAGCUGCGGGGAUUAGCACAUAUGAAUUGAUCCGCAGAUUUCCGAAUGGGGCAACCCACUAUACUGAAGGUAUAGUAUCCGAAAGGAAGCGAACCCGGUGAACUGAAACAUCUAAUUAGCCGGAGGAAGAGAAAACAAUAGUGAUUUUGCUAGUAGCGGCGAGCGAACGUGAAACAGCCCAAACCAGUACUGUUACGGCAGUACUGGGGUAGUAGGACUACGAUAUCUUAAUACAUUUUGAACCCGAAUAUUUUGGAAAGAA